rnacentral:rRNA from 1 species
GACUGGGAUAACCCUGGGAAACUGGGGCUAAUACCGGAUAGGCAAUUUUUCCUGUAAUGGUUCUUUGUUUAAAUGUUUUUUCGCCUAAGGAUGGGUCUGCGGCCGAUUAGGUAGUUGGUUAGGUAAUGGCUUACCAAGCCGUUGAUCGGUAGGGGUUGUGAGAGCAAGAGCCCGGAGAUGGAACCUGAGACAAGGUUCCAGGCCCUACGGGGCGCAGCAGGCGCGAAACCUCCACAAUGUGAGAAAUCGCGAUGGGGGGAUCCCAAGUGCCAUUCUUAACGGGAUGGCUUUUCAUUAGUGUAAAAAGCUUUUGGAAUAAGAGCUGGGCAAGACCGGUGCCAGCCGCCGCGGUAACACCGGCAGCUCUAGUGGUAGCAACUUUUAUUGGGCCUAAAGCGUCCGUAGCCGGUUUAAUAAGUCUCUGGUGAAAUCCUGUAGCUUAACUGUGGGAAUUGCUGGAGAUACUAUUAGACUUGAGACCGGGAGAGGUUAGAGGUACUCCCAGGGUAGAGGUGAAAUUCUGUAAUCCUGGGAGGACCGCCUGUUGCGAAGGCGUCUAACUGGAACGGUUCUGACGGUGAGGGACGAAAGUUAGGGGCGCGAACCGGAUUAGAUACCCGGGUAGUCCUAACUGUAAACGAUGCGGACUUGGUGUUGGGGUGGCUUUGAGCUGUUCCAGUGCCGAAGGGAAGCUGUUAAGUCCGCCGCCUGGGAAGUACGGUCGCAAGACUGAAACUUAA